rnacentral:rRNA from 1 species
GACGAACGUUGGCGGCGUGCUUAAUACAUGCAAGUCAACUGAAGCAGUGGUAGCAAUAUCGCUGUGGAGGUGGCGCACGGGUGAGUAACACGUAGGUAAUCUGCCUUCAGGUCUGGCAUAACUCCGGGAAACCGGGGCUAAUAGCAGAUGAUGCAGCGGCUCGACAUCGAGACAGUUGUUAAAGCUAUGGCGCCUGAAGAUGAGCCUGCGUCUGAUUAGCUAGUUGGCGGGGUAACGGCCCACCAAGGCAACGAUCAGUAGCUGGUCUGAGAGGAUGAUCAGCCGCACUGGAACUGAGACACGGUCCAGACUCCUACGGGAGGCAGCAGUAAGGAAUAUUGCUCAAUGGGAGAAAUCCUGAAGCAGCAACGCCGCGUGAGGGACGAAGGGCUUUUGCUUGUAAACCUCUGUAGUGAGAGAAAAAAAUCCCAAUCUUUGGGACAUGAUGGUAUCUCAAAAGUAAGCCCCGGCUAACUACGUG